rnacentral:rRNA from 1 species
GGGUGGAUUAAACUCCCUAUUUUUAUAUAUGUGUUUUUUUCCCGUCAGGACGAACGCUGGCGGCGUGCCUAAUACAUGCAAGUCGAGCGGACAGAAGGGAGCUUGCUCCCGGAUGUUAGCGGCGGACGGGUGAGUAACACGUGGGUAACCUGCCUGUAAGACUGGGAUAACUCCGGGAAACCGGAGCUAAUACCGGAUAGUUCCUUGAACCGCAUGGUUCAAGGAUGAAAGACGGUUUCGGCUGUCACUUACAGAUGGACCCGCGGCGCAUUAGCUAGUUGGUGAGGUAACGGCUCACCAAGGCGACGAUGCGUAGCCGACCUGAGAGGGUGAUCGGCCACACUGGGACUGAGACACGGCCCAGACUCCUACGGGAGGCAGCAGUAGGGAAUCUUCCGCAAUGGACGAAAGUCUGACGGAGCAACGCCGCGUGAGUGAUGAAGGUUUUCGGAUCGUAAAGCUCUGUUGUUAGGGAAGAACAAGUGCAAGAGUAACUGCUUGCACCUUGACGGUACCUAACCAGAAAGCCACGGCUAACUACGUGCCAGCAGCCGCGGUAAUACGUAGGUGGCAAGCGUUGUCCGGAAUUAUUGGGCGUAAAGGGCUCGCAGGCGGUUUCUUAAGUCUGAUGUGAAAGCCCCCGGCUCAACCGGGGAGGGUCAUUGGAAACUGGGAAACUUGAGUGCAGAAGAGGAGAGUGGAAUUCCACGUGUAGCGGUGAAAUGCGUAGAGAUGUGGAGGAACACCAGUGGCGAAGGCGACUCUCUGGUCUGUAACUGACGCUGAGGAGCGAAAAGGGC